rnacentral:rRNA from 1 species
UACGGGGGGGGCAAGCGUUGUUCGGAAUUACUGGGCGUAAAGGGCUCGUAGGCGGCCAACUAAGUCCGACGUGAAAUCCCCAGGCUUAACCUGGGAACUGCGUCGGAUACUGGAUGGCUUGAAUCCGGGAGAGGGAUGCGGAAUUCCAGGUGUAGCGGUGAAAUGCGUAGAUAUCUGGAGGAACACCGGUGGCGAAGGCGGCACCCUGGACCGGCACUGACGCUGAGGAGCGAAAGCCAGGGGAGCAAACGGG